AUGAACGCUAGCUACAGGCUUAACACAUGCAAGUCGAGGGGCAGCAUGAGCUUAGCUUGCUAAGCUUGAUGGCGACCGGCGCACGGGUGAGUAACACGUAUCCAACCUCCCGCUUACUCAGGAAUAGCCUUUCGAAAGAAAGAUUAAUGCCUGAUGGUAUCUUAAGCACACAUGUAAUUAAGAUUAAAGAUUUAUCGGUAAGCGAUGGGGAUGCGUUCCAUUAGGUAGUAGGCGGGGUAACGGCCCACCUAGCCGACGAUGGAUAGGGGUUCUGAGAGGAAGGUCCCCCACAUUGGAACUGAGACACGGUCCAAACUCCUACGGGAGGCAGCAGUGAGGAAUAUUGGUCAAUGGGCGCGAGCCUGAACCAGCCAAGUAGCGUGAAGGAUGAAGGUCCUACGGAUUGUAAACUUCUUUUAUACGGGAAUAAAGUGGCCUACGUGUAGGCUUUUGCAUGUACCGUAUGAAUAAGCAUCGGCUAACUCCGUGCCAGCAGCCGCGGUAAUACGGAGGAUGCGAGCGUUAUCCGGAUUUAUUGGGUUUAAAGGGAGCGCAGACGGGGGAUUAAGUCAGUUGUGAAAGUUUGCGGCUCAACCGUAAAAUUGCAGUUGAUACUGGUUCCCUUGAGUGCAGUUGAGGCAGGCGGAAUUCGUGGUGUAGCGGUGAAAUGCAUAGAUAUCACGAAGAACCCCGAUUGCGAAGGCAGCCUGCUAAGCUGUAACUGACGUUGAGGCUCGAAAGUGUGGGUAUCAAACAGGAUUAGAUACCCUGGUAGUCCACACGGUAAACGAUGGAUACUCGCUGUUGGCGAUAUACUGUCAGCGGCCAAGCGAAAGCAUUAAGUAUCCCACCUGGGGAGUACGCCGGCAACGGUGAAACUCAAAGGAAUUGACGGGGGCCCGCACAAGCGGUGGAGUAUGUGGUUUAAUUCGAAGCAACGCGAAGAACCUUACCAGGCCUUGACAUCCCGGGCAAGGGCGUAGAGAUACGCCGGAGGCUAUCCCGGUGACAGGUGGUGCAUGGUUGUCGUCAGCUCGUGUCGUGAGAUGUUGGGUUAAGUCCCGCAACGAGCGCAACCCUCGUGGCCAGUUACUAUCAGGUAAGGCUGAGGACUCUGGCCAGACUGCCAUCGUAAGAUGCGAGGAAGGUGGGGAUGACGUCAAAUCAGCACGGCCCUUACGUCCGGGGCUACACACGUGUUACAAUGGGAGGUACAGAAGGCAGCUACCCGGCGACGGGAUGCCAAUCCCGAAAGCCUCUCUCAGUUCGGACUGGAGUCUGCAACCCGACUCCACGAAGCUGGAUUCGCUAGUAAUCGCGCAUCAGCCACGGCGCGGUGAAUACGUUCCCGGGCCUUGUACACACCGCCCGUCAAGCCAUGAAAGCCGGGGGUACCUGAAGUGCGUAACCGCAAGGAGCGCCCUAGGGUAAAACCGGUAAUUGGGGCU
rnacentral:rRNA from 1 species